UACGUAGGGUCCGAGCGUUGUCCGGAGUUACUGGGCGUAAAGGGCGCGUAGGCGGCCUGCUAAGUCGAACGUGAAAUCCCCGAGCUUAACUCGGGAACUGCGUCCGAUACUGACAGGCUUGAAUCCGGGAGAGGGAUGCGGAAUUCCAGGUGUAGCGGUGAAAUGCGUAGAUAUCUGGAGGAACACCGGUGGCGAAGGCGGCAUCCUGGACCGAGAUUGACGCUGAGGCGCGAAAGCGUGGGGAGCAAACAGG
rnacentral:rRNA from 1 species